UCGGUUUAUAAUUUAUAUUUUUUAUGAAAAAAAAAUUUUUUUUUAAAUAGCCCAUAAAGGUAUUUAGAUUAACUUUAAAUUUUCUACAGUUGUCGACCCUUAGAAGGUUUGGUGUAAACUAAAGCAAUUAAAUUACCACAGUCCAUAAAGAGGAGUUUGACAAUAUUGACAGAAAAAAAAAAUAAUGACAGUGCUGAUUACCAUUUUCACUUGUGAAUUAUUGUCAGAAAGGAAACGAUGCUCAGCAACCGGGUGAAAAAUAGUUUGGAAGGGAACAAAGUAAAAGAAACACUGCAGGUGAUUGGCGUUGUACCGGUAGAAGCGCUCAAAGAAGAGGAGAAAAAAAAAAAAAACACAAGGGAAUCAUAUUUAAGUUGGUGUCGAGGUACCAUUUUAAAAUGUGUCGCUUGGUAAUGGUAUCUCUUUGUCUGUGUGUUAAAUUUUUGUGGGGGGCGUUUGCGAUUGUUUGCUUCGAAAAAGUUAGCUUCAGGCAGGUUUAUGACGAGGGACAGCGCAUUUAGAGUGAUUUAAAUUACACUCCUGGACACUGUGUUAGAGACUUACUGCUUAACCUGCCCCUCUCAAUGUUGGCCUGCAAGAUGGCACAGACACAUUUGCAGUUAAAAGCGCUGUAUGGGGGAGAAGGACAUGAAAAGAACAUCAUAGAUGACGUUGCUCUGGGGAAGUGUCCCAAUUAAGUAUGUCGAGAGUGUAGCUUAUUUAUCAAGGAAUGUUCACUGCACAAGCGGGUGGUUGACCCAUCAAAGGUCAUCAGGAAGUGACUUCCCGAAGUGAUGGCUAUCCUGGGCGACUCUUUAUAUAACCCUGACUUGUCUAGUUAUUAGAGUUGGAUCGCGGCAAGAAGUAUCCCUCUGCAGUGUUAUGUUUGUAAGCGUUUAUAUUAAUAAAAAAGUCAAACAAGAUCCCAGUCCCUCUUGCAGGGUAUCCCUUGUCGAAACCUGUUUGGGUAUAAGACGCAUGCAAUUUUCCGUAUGAAUAAGCUAUCCCAGGCUGGUAUGUUCUCUAAUCGCUAAUUCCCUGAUUUGUGUCAAAAAUUGCUCAUAUUUUCUUUUCUUGUAUUUCACAGCUGGUAACAAGAGAUGAUGUUUUGUAAAGUACAGAAGCUUUUCUUGUUGUCCCUUUUAGUUUCAAUAGCAGUUAUUGUACGUGAAUUAUUUAGACUUGAAUUCUUACGCCUAAUAAAACCAGUCGACUUUUCCCAAGAUCAGUUAACACAUGACCAGUUUCCACCUGAUCAGUUAACAAGCGACAGAUGAGCACGUAAUCGUUCAUCAAGUGACCGUGAGAAUUUCUUCACCGACUGGUGCCGCCUUUAGCGGUCGCGUGUGGACUGGGAAGGAUUGUUGGGGAGCUGUCGUGACAAAAUGGCUUGGAGACAAAGAGAGACUUCUUCAUUAAACAGAACAGACCCUGAGAAGAGUUUUAUUUUAAAGAAAGAAGUAAAACCUCAAGGCGAGUUUAGUCGCUUCUUUAUCCAGACCGUGACCAAAAGUGGCCAACUUAAGAGAACUGGGGGAGAUUCUUGGAGAGUGCACAUCAGACAAGGUCCAGCAUCCUUAGCGCCGAUUGUGAUCGACCAUACUGAUGGAACAUACGAGGUUAUGUUUCUGGCUCUGGAGCCUGGGAAUUACUCGGCCCAAGCUUUUCUGGAUUUCACACUCUGCGAUGGUUUUAGGGAUCCACCAGAAGAUUGGUACAUAAGAGGUGACAUUCAGGGCCACAAACAAGAGACCGGUAUCCUGGGAGAUAUUGAUCAAGAUUUUAUUAAAGCACCGCUUCAAAAUGGAAAACCGAUCAAUUUUUGCAUCGAAGAGUGCAACGAAACAAACGGUUUCUUCAAGUACAUCCAGCCAUUGCUUAGUCAAUCGGGUAAAAAAAGAUUCCUGCAGCCUUCGUGUGACUUUAAAUCCUCCUUGGUGUGGAACGGCUUUGGGCGAUGGGUCAAUAGCAUUUGGAAACCAUACGUCCCGGAAGAGAUGCACAAGACACAAUAUGCGGGAAAACGUGUGAAGAGAAAAUUAGAUGAUCUAAUGUUUUAUGGGGAUUCCACAAAUGUGCAUUUCCAUUCUCUUGCAAGGAGAAAUCGCCUUUGCAAGGAAAUGUUUCAUACCUGUGAGAAGAAGUAUAUGUGGACUUAUGAUGUCUCCUCGAAAGGAAACGACAAUGGAGAUUUCAACCAGACUAUUGUUCUUGAGGAGAUCAAAAAAAUCUUGGACAGCCUUGAUAUGAGAGGGAAUCAAAGCGUAUUCUUUUUCAACGUCGGUCUACAUUACUCAAUAACGUUGAACUUUACAACUUAUCAAAUGCUGAUUGACAGCAUUAUCAAGGUAUUACGGCGGAGAGACACUGGUACUGAGAAUGAAGGGGCGCUGAGUGGCCGACCUCUUCCUAUUUGGCGGAGCAACGCCGCCAUAGAAGUGGAGCGUUUUGAAGACUUCUUUCCCCAAGGGAAUUAUACAGAGAGGAGAUUCUAUACCAAUCAGUUAUCGCUUAACUGGAACAAACGUUUAAAAAGUCGAAGAAGUUAAAAAUUGGGCAGUCCUUGACUGGUUUCUUCCAUAUUUUAAAGAGAAGGAAAACUGCGCUGCAGCUUAACAGGACGGAAACUCUGCAGGCAGAGGAAUCAGAUGUUCCAUACCUAUGCUACAGACCCUCUGUAUAAGGCUUGAAUUCCUGUACUGGAUAUUUACCCGCUGACCGCCGCUUGGCCUGGAGGUACCCGUGAUUCCUUGCACUACACAGACAAACCAAUGCAGCCUGCAGUUAAAGCUUUGGAGAGAUUUCUUACUGAAGCCUUAAAGUGCACAUAAACCCA